rnacentral:rRNA from 1 species
UAAUAAUAUAAAAUUGAUAAUUCCCGAAAAUAAAAGAUCUAAAAAUAUACUAGGAUUUUGAAUUACUAUAUAGUAUUGUUGCAUUAAUAUAAAGAGAUGUGUUUUUAGGGGUGAAAGACCUUCACUUUUAUUGAUAUCUGGAAAAAUAUUAAAUAAAUUUAGUUUAAGAUAUAAUUACAAUGUAAUAAGAUAUUGUAAAAGGAAAUUGAAAUAUAAACAUUAGAGUCAUUAAUUAUUACUUAGCGACAUUAUUUUUUUUGAUAAUAUAUUUAUGUUUGUUAUUCCUAAACAAUGUUUUACUUUAAUUAAGUUAUAUUGAAGUGAAUAAUGUAUAAAUUAGUAUAUAUAGUAAAUUUAAUUGAAGGAAUUCGGCAAAUACUUUAUACGACUGUUUAUCAAAAACAUAGCCAGUAGGUAAUAGAUUAUUGGUGUGACCUGCCCAGUGAAUUUUUUAACGGCCGCAGUACCCUGACUGUGCAAAGGUAGCAUAAUCAUUUGGCUUUUAAUUGAAGUCUCGUAUGAAAGGAAAAACGUAUAAAUACUGUCUCCAUUAAUAAAUUUAUUUAAGUUGCUCUAUAAGGUGAAAAUACCUUUAAUAAUAAAAAUAGACGAGAAGACCCUUAGAAUUUUAAUAAAAAGCAGGAGCUAAAUAUGUGGUAAUUUUUGUUGGGGCAACAUUUUUUCAUUUAAUAAGAAAUACCCGUUAGAAACAUAACGAAUAAGUAUAAUAAAGUAAAAAUUACCUAAGGGAUAACAGCAUAAUUUUAAGUAAAGAUUGUGACCUCGAUGUUGGACUAGGAACUAUUAAGGCUAAUCGUUUUAAUAUAAUAGGUUCUGUUCGAACUUUAUUUCCUA